rnacentral:rRNA from 1 species
CUACGGGAGGCAGCAGUGGGGAAUUUUCCGCAAUGGGCGAAAGCCUGACGGAGCAAUACCGCGUGAGGGAAGACGGCCUAUGGGUUGUAAACCUCUUUUUUCAGGGAGGAAUUAAUGACGUGUACCUGAAGAAUAAGCAUCGGCUAACUCCGUGCCAGCAGCCGCGGUAAGACGGAGGAUGCAAGUGUUAUCCGGAAUCACUGGGCGUAAAGCGUCUGUAGGUGGUUUAAUAAGUCAACUGUUAAAUCUUGAGGCUCAACCUCAAAAUCGCAGCCGAAACUAUUAGACUAGAGUAUAGUAGGGGUAAAGGGAAUUUCCAGUGGAGCGGUGAAAUGCGUAGAGAUUGGAAAGAACACCAAUGGCGAAGGCACUUUACUGGGCUAUUACUGACACUCAGAGACGAUAUUGCUAAGGUAGCAAAUGGGAUUAGAUACCCCAGUAGUCCUAGCUGCCCCCAUGGAUACUAGAUGUUGAACAGAUCGACCUGCGC